UACGGAGGGUGCAAGCGUUGUCCGGAAUUAUUGGGUGUAAAGGGUGUGUAGGCGGACCUGUAAGUCAGAGGUGAAAGCCUGCGGCUUAACCGUAGAAUUGCCUUUGAUACUGCAGGUCUUGAGUCCCGGAGAGGUCAUUAGAAUUCGUGGUGUAGCGGUGAAAUGCGUAGAUAUCACGAGGAAUACCAGAGGCGUAGGCGAAUGACUGGACGGGUACUGACGCUGAGGCACGAAAGCGUGGGGAGCAAACAGG
rnacentral:misc_RNA from 1 species